rnacentral:tRNA from 1 species
GCAGCCGUGGCGAAAUUUGGUAGACGCGCAGCAUUGAGGGUGCUGUUCUUACACAAGAGUGGAAGUUCAAGUCUUCUCGGCUGUA